UACCUUCCUUAAAAAUGUUUAAUCAUGAAAAUUUAUGUUUCUGCUCAUAGGUUACUAGAUACAAGGCCACGUAAAAUGUCGUUAUGAUAUGUCAAGUCAAAAUCCAUGAGCAGCAAUCACGUUAGAGGAACCACCACUUUUAUUUUGUAUGACGAACAGAAUCUUCAGUUGUAGACUCAUCGCGAAACAGUUUCAUGAGUAUUUGGGUACUGAACAAUCUUUUCGGGGAACUGAAGUCUACAUAUGAAACAUCAAAUCACUCAAAGUAUACAGGGUGCUCAAUGAGAAGCUACACGAGUCUAUCCUCUGUCUUUCCAUGGCCGUGUUUGCCUUUUUAUUCUCCAUGUUCUAUGAAGAAGAUAGUGAAUGAUCAGGCACCAUUGAAAUCUGUUUAUGAGGUAUCAGAUUGGCACAUUUUGCUUCAGUGGUGAAUGUGGCUGCAGGAAAAUUGAAAGUUCAAGGAUCCGACAUUCCUCCUCCCACUCGUGGCUAGAUUCAGAUUGCGAUUCGCUAUUGGAUUGGUGAGUCCUCAUACUCCGAGGGAAAAUCCAUGAAGACCAUUUAUUGCUUUUAUUGUUUACUCUUGAGAAUUUGUACGUGGUGAACGGGUUACUUCCCUACCACUCUUAUUUUAUUAUGUGUUUUAAUGGUUUGUCAAGACAUAGUCAUGAUUUCGCAUAUGAGAUGUCUUACUUAAACUCUUUUAUUGUAUAUUAUUUUGUAUUGUAUGUACAUCAAGUGGUUGUGUAGGUCCUCUCAGGGUCAUAUACGUCAUGUGGCGUCUAGGUAAUACUUUAGGUUGUGACACUGGGCAACUUGGGAACUGGAGUUGGUUUGAGCUUGGAGUGUUGUACUGAUUACUUGGCAGUGGACGUCGUUCCACGGUGAUUUUGAUGAUGGUUAACAUUUGAUCCUUCGGUAACUCUUUCUAGUAACAGAUUAAAGGUCUGGUCAUGCUGCUCAUGAUUCUCUACGGAGUUGAUCCCUACUAUUCGUUGAUUAAAGGUCUGGUCUUAUCAUCUAUGAAGUCGACACACUUUGGCUACGGCCUAACGCCCUGGGAGAUUCAUCCGCACUUCGAGGUCCGGGCUUUGUACGCUUUAGAUGGGCGGCUCUUGUUGGUUACUUGAAGGUUAUUCAAGGUUAGAGUUUUUUAUUUCUGUGACUAAAAAUAACUAACAACA